rnacentral:rRNA from 1 species
UACGAAGGGUGCGAGCGUUAAUCGGAAUUACUGGGCGUAAAGCGCGCGUAGGUGGUUUGAUAAGUGAUAUGUGAAAUCCCCGGGCUCAACCUGGGAACUGCAUGUCGAACUGUCAGGCUAGAGUAUGGUAGAGGGGUGUGGAAUUUCCUGUGUAGCGGUGAAAUGCGUAGAUAUAGGAAGGAACAUCGGUGGCGAAGGCGCUGCUCUGGGCCGAUACUGACGCUGAGGAGCGAAAGCGUGGGUAGCAAACAGG